rnacentral:lncRNA from 1 species
AAGCAGAAAAAUAAAAACACCACUCAGUAGGUGUUGAUUCUCUUUGCUUAAUAUUCUUUUCUUUUUCUUCUUCCUGCUGAAUUUCUUCAAAAAAUUGAGAAUACCAAGCACCUGUUUCCAUAUAUCAAUCAGAGGAACGUUAAUCUCCAAUUUCUUGAAGAUUUCAAUAAAGCACUUAAACUUCUUUUCUUUCCUAUGAUAUUUCUUUUGAUGAGGAAGAGGUUUUGCAUAUGAUCUUUUCUUCUUUUCUCUCUUCCUCCUUUUCUUAAUGUUCUCCCUCAACUUUCUCUUUUUCUCUUUUCUUCUUUAUUUUUGCAUAUUUUUUUCUUUUUUUCUUUUUUUUAACCACUUCUUUUUCUCCUUCAUCAUCAUUAUCUUCCUUAACCAACUUUUCUGUUUCUUCUUCCUUUAAAUCUCUCUCUAUCUUUUCUUCCUCAAUCUUUUCCUCUUUUUUUUUCCAAUUUUUUCUCCUCUAUCUUCUCCUCUAUCUUUUCCUCCUUUCUCUCCAUUUUUUUUCUCCUCUAUCUUUUCCUCAUCAAUAACCUUAUCAAUUUGUGUCUCCAAAUUCCUAAAGGUAACUUCAUAGCUCUUGGAAUCGUACUUCUUCAAAAAUUUGUCGAACUUCUCAUUAAGGCUUUUGACUUGUUCUGUCACAUUAGCUACCUGAUGACAUAAUUGUUGACCGUCCUCCCAUGUUUCUAUUGGUAAAGAGAGUUGUUGCUACCAUAAACGUUGUUGAACUUCCCCCAUUGUUUCUCUUAGCAAAGAGGAUUGUUGCCCAAAUUGGCUUUGAUAUAUGUUUGAAUGAGGUUCCCACCAGUGGUUGAAAUCAUUUUGGUAGAAUUGAGUGCCCAUAUAAUCAAAUUCUUCUUCAUACUGCAUCCUGCAAGCAUUAGGCACAAAAUCCUAGAAAACAUGUAUUAGAACAAAAAUAAAAAUAAACAUAAAAAUCAAGUCAAAUUUAAUCAAUUUACACUACUUGAAAAGUUAAACCACGAGUCCCCGACAAUGGCGCCAAAAACUUGUUAAGUCCCUACCAAGUGUACCAAAUCGUUAUCAAGUAAUAUAAAACGGGUAAGUCCGAGUAUCGUUUUCCCAAAGGACUCUUAGGCCUUACUUUUCAUGUAAACAAAUCGCGUAUGACUUGAGAAGAAAUAAAUUUUAGGGUUUGGAUGCAAAAAGAAAAUAAACAUGCAAAAUGUAUUGAAUCAAUUGGCUAGAAGAAACUAUGGAUGAAUGAAGUUGUCGGGGUUUACAAUUUCAUCUUAUCCACCCUUUUAUAUCUACCCUUCUUAUCUACUUUGCUUAUUUAUCAUAUUGUCAUGCAAACUUUCUUAGUCUACCCUAAAUCCAAUCUCUUGGCGAAAAAGCCUAUUAAUAAUUACUGGCUUGCUAUCUCUAGCCUCCCCUAGUAACUAGCAAUGCAUGAUAAACGGAAGCAAAACACAAUUGAUCGUCCUACCCCUAUCUCUAGGCGGUAUUAGCAUAAUCAAGGAAUUCCUCCAGUUCAUGACAUUAAUGUACGUCUCGGUAUCAAUAAAGACAAACAACAUUUACCGAAUGAGUUAAACGAUAAAAGCAUUAAGCAAAGGUAAGGAAUC